GUGCUUGCUUCGGCAGCACAUAUACUAAAAUUGGAAUGAUACAGAGAAGAUUAGCAUGGCCCCUACGCAAAUUUGGAUAACACGCAAAUUCGUGAAGCAUUCCAUAUUUUU